AACGAACGCUGGCGGCAUGCCUAACACAUGCAAGUCGAACGAGAUCUUCGGGUCUAGUGGCGCACGGGUGCGUAACGCGUGGGAAUCUGCCCUUUGGUUCGGAAUAACAGUUGGAAACGACUGCUAAUACCGGAUGAUGACGAAGGUCCAAAGAUUUAUCGCCAGAGGAUGAGCCCGCGUAGGAUUAGCUAGUUGGUGUGGUAAAGGCGCACCAAGGCGACGAUCCUUAGCUGGUCUGAGAGGAUGAUCAGCCACACUGGGACUGAGACACGGGCCAGACUCCUACGGGAGGCAGCAGUGCGGAAUAUUGGACAAUGGGCGAAAGCCUGAUCCAGCAAUGCCGCGUGAGUGAUGAAGGCCUUAGGGUUGUAAAGCUCUUUUACCCGGGAUGGUAAUGACAGUACCGGGAGAAUAAGCUCCGGCUAACUCCGUGCCAGCAGCCGCGGUAA
rnacentral:rRNA from 1 species